UGGGGAAUAUUGCACAAUGGGCGCAAGCCUGAUGCAGCCAUGCCGCGUGUGUGAAGAAGGCCUUCGGGUUGUAAAGCACUUUCAGCGGGGAGGAAGGCGUUAAGGUUAAUAACCUUGGCGAUUGACGUUACCCGCAGAAGAAGCACCGGCUAACUCCGUGCCAGCAGCCGCGGUAAUACGGAGGGUGCAAGCGUUAAUCGGAAUUACUGGGCGUAAAGCGCACGCAGGCGGUCUGUCAAGUCGGAUGUGAAAUCCCCGGGCUCAACCUGGGAACUGCAUUCGAAACUGGCAGGCUAGAGUCUCGUAGAGGGGGGUAGAAUUCCAGGUGUAGCGGUGAAAUGCGUAGAGAUCUGGAGGAAUACCGGUGGCGAAGGCGGCCCCCUGGACAAAGACUGACGCUCAGGUGCGAAAGCGUGGGGAGCAAACAGG
rnacentral:rRNA from 1 species